rnacentral:rRNA from 1 species
AGUGAACGCUGGCGGCGUGCCUAAUACAUGCAAGUCGAACGGAGUGGCGCACGGGGGAGUAAUGUAUAGCUAAACUGCCCUACACUAGAGGACAACAGUUGGAAACGACUGCUAAUACUCUAUAGUGUAGGAUGAGGCUAUAUUGUAUCAGCUAGUUGGUGAGGUAAUGGCUCACUAAGGCUAUGACGGAUAACUGGUCUGAGAGGAUGAUCAGUCACACUGGAACUGAGACACGGUCAAGACUCCUACGGGAGGGGGCAGUAGGCAAUAUUGCUCAAUGGGGGAAAGCCUGAAGCAGCAUCGCCGCGUGGAGGAUGACUCUUUUCGGAGCGUAAACUCGUGUUGUUAGGGAAGCGGUACCUAACGAAUAAGCACCGGCUAACUCCGUGCCAGCAGCCGCGGUAAUAC